CGCUGGCGGCGUGCUUAACACAUGCAAGUCGAACGGUGACGAGGAGCUUGCUCCUCUGAUCAGUGGCGAACGGGUGAGUAACACGUGAGUAACCUGCCCCAGACUCUGGGAUAACAGUUGGAAACAGCUGCUAAUACCGGAUACGAGACGGAGAGGCAUCUCUACCGUCUGGAAAGUUUUUCGGUCUGGGAUGGACUCGCGGCCUAUCAGCUUGUUGGUGAGGUAAUGGCUCACCAAGGCGACGACGGGUAGCCGGCCUGAGAGGGCGACCGGCCACACUGGGACUGAGACACGGCCCAGACUCCUACGGGAGGCAGCAGUGGGGAAUAUUGCACAAUGGGCGAAAGCCUGAUGCAGCGACGCCGCGUGAGGGAUGACGGCCUUCGGGUUGUAAACCUCUUUCAGCAGGGAAGAAGCGAAAGUGACGGUACCUGCAGAAGAAGCACCGGCUAACUACGUG
rnacentral:rRNA from 1 species